UACGUAGGGUGCGAGCGUUGCCCGGAUUUAUUGGGCGUAAAGGGCGCGUAGGCGGCUCGGCACGUCCGUUGUGAAAUCGCCCGGCUCAACUGGGCGGGGUCAGCGGAUACGGUCGAGCUUGAGCAAGCUAGGGGGUAAUGGAAUUCCCGGUGUAGUGGUGGAAUGCGUAGAUAUCGGGAGGAACACCAGUGGCGAAGGCGGUUACCUGGGGCUUUGCUGACGCCGAUGCGCGAAAGCGUGGGGAGCAAACAGG
rnacentral:rRNA from 1 species